rnacentral:misc_RNA from 1 species
ACCUUUGAGAUCAGAAGCAAAUGGUGCAUAAUGAUAUGGAUAAAACCAUUGCCAAGAACAAACGCCUUCAUAAUAAUAGUGCAUAACCCAACAUAGGCCUUCUGUGUAUCUCAAAACAACAUCAUUUCGUAUGUCAUCAAGUUCCUCUGGAGUAUUUGCAGAAAACUUUUCAUUAUAAUACCUCUCUCUCCACCCAGGUACGCCCAAUUUAAUCUUGUCUUCUUCUGAACUAUUAGAGUUGAAAACGUCAG